CAAAGAUAGCGAACAACGGGAGGGAGAGAGGCGGAAGAUAGCGAACAGCCGAAGGAGAUAUAUCGCCCAUGGCCGCUCUCAUCGGUAGUCUAAAUCUCGUUCCUCCUCCUUCGCUUUCUCCCUUGCCCUCUCUCGUCCCUCACAACUCUUCCAAAUGGCGGCGAUUCCUCUCGGCCUCGGCUCCUCGCACUAGCCUCUCGCCACCGCAAUGCUCGUCCGUUGCCGAGCUGGGAGAAGGCUUAGGUCGGGUGAGCGCCGUUGCCCUCCUCGCCGCCUCCCUCUUCUUCGCCGACCCUGCUCUCGCUUUUAAGGGUGGAGGGCCGUACGGGGCGGAAGUAACGAGAGGGCAAGACCUCACCGGCAAAGACUUCAGUGGUAAGACCCUCAUCAAACAAGACUUCAAGACGUCGAUCCUGAGGCAGGCCAAUUUCAAGGGCGCAAAGUUACUCGGUGCGAGCUUUUUUGAUGCAGAUCUGACAGGAGCUGAUCUCUCUGAUGCUGAUCUCAGGGGUGCAGACUUUUCCUUGGCCAAUGUGACUAAGGCAAAUCUAAGUAAUGCAAAUCUUGAAGGUGCUCUUGCUACUGGCAACACUUCUUUCAGAGGAUCAAAUAUCAAUGGAGCAGACUUCACGGAUGUUCCCCUGCGAGAAGACCAACGGGAGUACCUUUGCAAAGUUGCCGAUGGGGUGAACCCUGUAACCGGAAACUCCACUAGGGAUACACUGCUCUGCAACUGAUAUCAAGUGACAUCUCCAGUAAAGCUCCGAGGCAGUCGGCAUCAUUGGGUGCUGUAAUUUGCCUUGUAAUACGCUUUUCUGUUUAGAUUAUUUAUCUGUAAAUUUUGUUCACUUGCAUCAUUUGUUCUUGUCAAAGAAUUCUUGCAUAUUAUGUAUGGUAAAAGUAUGUAUGUCCUCCUCACAAACGAACUGCUACAGUGUUCUUCCCUACUUUCACUUCUGCCGUUCGUUGAAGUAUAUUCUCAGCUCAUUCUGAUACAAUGUGAAGCCUCAAAUUAUUCGAUCCUAUUGAACAGUCCUAUCCGAUGGGCGGGCAUCGAUGUGGCCUACCAUUUCAGCAUGGUAGUCGUUCAUGAACACCUCUGAAUGGUUCUUGUGGUCUUCAACUUGGAUUUCUCCAGCUAAAAUAUUAGAUUACGAUGCUCGAAUCAGAAACCAUGCUUGUCAUCAUCAUCUUGUUUGUGACCCGUACUUGGUACCUUCAUCAUCACUGGAUGGUGUUCUUUUCCCCUUCCUCCCAAUGAAAGUAACAUUGCACCAAAAUUUGUGGAAGAAUCAGUCUCUGAUGGUAACCUGUGAUGGUAGUGUCCGGUGAGUGGAGAUAAGGGAAAGGAAUCUUGUCUUAAAACUGACAAGAUUGCUGCUACCCACCUCUGACAUUUAUUAUAUUGAAAUCAUCCACAUCAAAAGCAUGGAUACAUGGUUUUAUUGUAGUUGGUAAGAUGUCAAUGGGUUUGAAAGCUACUGGUUUGUGGAUAGCCAGCCACCUCGGUCAUCUCCUCUCCCUUCUCUGACCGAGCUUGCCUUGGUUAGCUUCUUCUCAGCAGCUGGCUUCCACUAAUCAAUCACCGCUCUUUAUAACCCAAUGUCUCCCCAUCUCUCUUCUCUCAAGACAAAACCUCAAAGUCUCCUCCAACUCUCCCGGCCACCACCAACCUGUCUCAGCUUUUGUGCUCUCACCAUGGAAGGUCUCAUUCCGUUCGUCUACAAGGCCAUAGUCCGAUACAAGAACGGUGGACAGGUUUCCAACAUAGGGAGCUUGUUGUUCCACGACUCCCCCUCGGCUUCCUACGUGCGGCUACCGGCCGGUGACUCCGGUAGGUUUCUGUCGUCGGACGUCCGCUUCUUUCCUUCGUCUCCGAGACCACUGACGGCGCCCGCGGCUCCGCAGUCUCCGCGCCGGCGCGCAGCUCAGUGGCGUCCUGCAUGAGGGUGGCGGAGGUGAUGAAGGCGCGUUGCAGGUCGUCUCCGCUUGCUAUAAAUGGUAUCGAUCGAUCAGUCUCUGUGCUCUUCACAACCUGUGAAUUAAUAUGGUUCUUCCUCCUCCUCUGUUCUAAGGGGUUUGGGUCUUGAAAAAAGGAGUCCCGCUAUUUGUUAUGAAUUAUAGAGAGAAAUAAAGUGAGUUUGCAAGUGUAGAAUUAUAGAUGUAUUGGUUGGUUCUUGGAGUAAUAAAAUAUAAUACCAGCAAAUAAUAUUGUCA